CCUACGGGUGGCAGCAGUGAGGAAUAUUGGUCAAUGGGCGAGAGCCUGAACCAGCCAAGUCGCGUGAGGGAGUACUGCCCUAUGGGUUGUAAACCUCUUUUGUCGGGGAGCAAAAGCCGGACGUGUCCGGCUGUGAGAGUACCCGAAGAAAAAGCAUCGGCUAACUCCGUGCCAGCAGCCGCGGUAAUACGGAGGAUGCGAGCGUUAUCCGGAUUUAUUGGGUUUAAAGGGUGCGCAGGCGGAUUUUUAAGUCAGGGGUAAAAUCGUGGGGCUCAACCCCAUCCAGCCGUUGAAACUGGGGAUCUAGAGUGUGCGAGAGGUAUGCGGAAUGCGAGGUGUAGCGGUGAAAUGCAUAGAUAUCACGCAGAACACCGAUUGCGAAGGCAGCAUACCGGUGCACAACUGACGCUCAGGCACGAAAGCGUGGGUAUCGAACAGGAUUAGAUACCCGGGUAGUC
rnacentral:rRNA from 1 species